GCUUUCAGCAGGAUCACUUCAUGAUCUCCUCCCGCUACAGUUCAGCAAAGUGCCACCGUGUGGAAGUUCAAAAGUCCGCUUCAUGGUGCCAGCCACAACUCUGGUGAAAAGAUCAUCAUUAAUGCUGUUUGCGCAAGCAUUUUUCAUUGUAUGCUGUCAAAUCAGAUCUUCAUACACGGCAACCUUUACCGACAGCAUGCUUUCAAAGUCACACACUUGCAUACCCAAAACACUGGUGUACUGUAGUUAUCCAAUCUAAAACGUAUCAGAUUCUUAACAUGUCGUUGGUGAUUGAUAUAGUGAGAUGUAUCACUGUGUAUGGCUGGGCGAUAUGUAGUUAUAAUAUCGAUAUCGUGAUAAAUGAUUAUGCCAUACACUUCUGAGAUUCGGAGAAUUAAAUGGUACUGAAUGGAUGCCGUUGAUUUUUAUGCUAUUUAAAAAAAAAAAUGUUUGUCUUUGGAGGCAUUAAGGAAAAUUUUUGUCAAACUCGCUUCAAUGCUUUUUUUUUUUUUUUUUUUUUUAUUUUACUAGUGUUUCGCAGACAGUUUGUUAGCUAAAUUAUAAAUCGUGAGGCGCAUUGUAAAUCAUAGACAUGUCCUCAAGUAUCGUGAUAUGAUAUUUGUGUCAUAUCGCCCAGCCCUAUCACCAUCUCAUAACUCAUAUUUGAGUCAUUUCCAGGUUGACUGAAGUUCACUCGAGAGAUGAUCACUGGAAUUUAAAGAUUGAAUGUGUGGCCCAAUCAGGAAAGUGAAUAGUUUCUCGUCCUUAACUGUUUCCUUAUUUUGGGCUUUUCGGAGAAAGCAGUGCAAUUCUGUUCGGGGAUGAGGGUUCUAUGAAAGAAAAAACACGGCAGCUGUCAAUUCCAACUAAGGAAGAAUCGAUCAGUAAUGAAAUGAAUGUGUAGCAAUUCUACUGCGAUAUCUGUUUGGGUUUUCUGUGCCUGUUCUCCCUGUGUCCAUGUGGGUUUCAUCUGGUUUCCUGCCACCUCCCAAAAGCAUGCUGGUAGGGGGCUGUGCUUCACAGACCCCUGGGGGUCCAUCGACUCCACUUUGAGAACUGUGGCUAUGCAGGACCUGAGGUUUGCACAGAGACUUGCCAAGAUGGACUGGAAUCUGCAGGAACAUGAACAGAGCAAUAGAUGUAUCGCUUUAAUAAUGAAAAGUUAUAUUCUUUUAAUUCAAACAGGUUUUCUUCUCCUAUCUUCAGCGUAAUUUAGCUAAAUUGGUUAACGUUUUAUAAACCUAAAUGUGUAUAGUAAUGGAAUGAUUGAGGGAUGCGUCCCUAUCAAUACUGGUAUCGGAUAUCAGUCCGAUACCCUGCUCAUGUACUUGUAUUCGGGGGUGGUGUCAAAGCUCUGAUACUGUGUUAUUAGGGGUGGGUGAGCGCUGUAAUAGUAAACACAUUUUGUCAGUUGCACUGAAAACAUUUUUUAUUUUAUGAACCAGACUAGCUAGACUAGCUUGCAUUCUCCCUGACAGACGAAUAAUAACCAGGUUCCUUUCUUCCUUUUAUUUGGCAGUAAGGCCACAGAGGUGCUGGUGCCUUAAAAAAAAAUUCAACACCAGUUAUACGGAGCUGCUGGAUUUUACAUAAUGGAUACGGCAGAAACGAUGGUUGUUCGCAUAAUAUGCAAAGGCAACACUGCCCUGUCGAGGAAACAUUUGUACACAGUCUGAUAUGAUUAAAAUAUUAUAAGAUCUUAUAUUUCAGUUGUGCUCUAGUGCAGUUAUACUGGAUUAUACGUACAGAGACAAGAUCCUAUAUAAGAUGUGAAAUUUGGCCAGAAUAUGUUCUUGUACAACAAGUUCAGGCUGUUUUCCUGCUGAUCUGUGAAUGCUUUAUGGGCUUUCAUUUAUUAACACAUGGCCUGUACAUCGAGACCCCUGCCUGUAGGUCUGAGUAGUACAUAUGAAAGUCAGAAAGCGAGCAGAGGGUUCACACACUUAGCAAAAAAAAAACAAGCAGCGCUAUUCAUAGCCCUUUCCUGACAGUUUCCCUUGAUGUGUGAAUUCCCUUUUCUGUUCAUGUUUCCUCGUUUGUGAAUGAAGGCAUCUGAAAUUGCAGGCUAUAAUUGGUUGAUUGAAGGCAGUGUUGUGAUUGGCCACGUGGAUCUCUCGUGAUGUGCACCCUCAUUGCCACGUGCCCCAGCCUCCCGUUCUUGCAUAUCGUCCCAUUCAGCUGAGCUGCUUUAUUCCCCAUUUCUCCUCCCAGUCUUAAAACAAUGUGUGCUUCUCCCCUGCUGUCCCUGCAUGAAUACACACACACACUCCCUGCUCUCUCUUUUACUCUCACUUUGCUCUCGGUAAUGUCAUUAGAAGACUUCUUUUUUAGACACAAACUGCACAAACUUAACACUAGGCCUCAUAGGCCUCAACUGUUUGAGUAAAAGAAACAAUUCUUUAUUGUUGUGUUUUCUAACUAGAACUGUCUAUUCUAUUGUUAACAAACUCAAGGGAUCGCAUAUGAAUAAAGCGGAGACAGCACCAAUAUUCAUUCAUUUAUUGGUGUCUAUCCUGGAAACACUGGAUGGGAAUUCACCUUGGAAGGGAUGCCAUGCCAUCGAAGGGCACCAUGCACACACAACCAUUUCAGCUACAAGCAUUGUUUUGAGAGGAAACCUGAGAACCUGACCUGAAUUGUUCAAACCCUCUGUAUGCCCUUGGUCCACCAUUUCUACCUCUCUUCCAACAGGAAGUCAAAUAUUUUCUUGCUUAAACACCAAUUUUUUAUACCAAGCAUGUGUGAGUAUCCUGAGCAUUGGAAGGAUGGCUAUUUUAUAGUUUAGUUGCAAUAUAGACUACUGUGAUGAGAGAGAACAUACCUGCCUUUAGGGACCAUAGAGGGCAAUGUGGAUUAUGCUACAUGCUACGAUGUACUUGAGUACUGGCAGGUUUAGCCAUGUUGAACUUUUGUAUAUCAAAAUGGGUAAACAAUAUACACAGGAGAGGAUGGGACUAAUGUAUUUGUAGUUCUUGUUAAGAUUCUGGUGGUAAUUUGGACUAAUUGGCACAUGGCCAGGGAUUACAGCAAGCUACUCUAGAGGUUAAAAAUACAUGAGCUGUCUUGCUAUGGCUCCUUGGAUCUUAGUUAGAUUCUGGAUCAAUUUUUAGGUCUAAGGGCUUCUGGAUUUUCUGGAUCCAGCAUUUGGACUAAUUGGAGGCAGUCUGGCCAUCCUGUCGUCCUAUUCUCUAUGCAGUUUGCCAUAUAAAGUUCCCUCCAUUAAUAUUGGCACUGUUGGUAAAUAUGAGCAAAGAAGGCUGUGAAAAUGAGUUUUUAAUGUUUAAACUUUUGAUAUUUUGUUUAAAAAAAAAAAUCACAAAAGUACUCUGCUCUCAUGGAUAUCAAACAAUUGCAAACACAACACAGGUUUAUUCAAAAAUAUCUUUAUUAAAUAUAGGUGUGUAACAAUUAUUUGCACCCCUAUGAAUUCAUAUGAGAAAAUUAUAUUUGAAGUAUAUUCCCACUGAUAUUUUAAAUUUUUUUUAAGUACACCUCCGUGACUAGGAACAGGUAAUUGUUCAACCAUGACAUCCUGUUUCACUGGGGUAUAAAUAUGAGGUAAGACAUAGGCCAAAUUCCCUUAGUCAAUCAUAACAAUGGGUAAGACCAAGGUAUAUAGCUGUGAUGUGCAGCAAAAGGUUGUUGGGAAGGGGACAGGAUGGGACUUGUUUUAGAUCAAAAAAGGUGUAUUUAUUUAUUUAUUUUUUAAAUUCCCCCUCAGGUCUACACUCUCAUGUGUUGAUGCUGAAAUUUUUCCUUUCCAUUUGUUUAGCAAAAAUAUUUUUAUAGAUUAAAAUGCGUUUUCGUUGAGAUCUUCCGUCCAUUUUCCAUUCAGUUAUUUUAAAAAUAAUGUAUUAAGAGCACGUGUUCAUUUUCUGUCCAUUUAUGACGUUCCUGUGCAAGAUCUUAUGAAUGCUUCAUUAAUAGAUAUUUAGGAACUGAUGCAGUAUGAACCGUACUGCAUUCUUGAGCUAAGAAGACAUUCACACGAUUCUGUCCCCCCUUUCUGAAAAUACCUCGCCUCAGGGGAAAACUUGAAUGCAUCUCUAGCUAUUUUUAGAGCAGCUAAUUUUAAACCCCUGCUUUUGAAGAGCACCGUUGAUGUGAACGAAUAAAGCCGUCGAGAGAGGCACGUGGCAUCCCAUGCUAUUUAAAGCAGAAUGUUAGCGUGAGCCACGGCCCAGGGGACCCUUUGAAACCGCGACCGCGGCAUCCAAUGAACAGCUCCCACCAUUACAUAACACAGCAAACAUACAGGGACAGCGAAGGAUGGCACCCCACACCCCCUCCCAAAGUUUUUGUUAGGAGUUAGAAAGGGGAGGAUCGUGUCGGAGGAGAAAACGGAAUCCACGUGGAUGGCACACGUAGUUUUUUUUUUUUUUUUUUUAUAUAUAUAUAUAACCUGUCGAUGAGGCUAUAUUUGUCACAGCACUGUCCUUCGUGGAAAGGGCUGGAAUCGUUCAUGCAUCAGUGGACAGUGAGGGCAUGGGCUGUAAAAAAAAAAUAGAUUCAUUCACUGUUGCAUUUCUUUGUGAAUGGUAUUGUCUGGGCAAUGAAUGCACACCGCUGUUGCCUUGCCUGGCACAGCUUCAUUCUUCAAUCUUAACAGUCCCUGUCAGUCAGUAUGCACAGCAUGUUUUACUGCAGUGGCAGUAAAGCCUGCGCAGAUGCAGCGGGAUACCCGUUUGCAGCUGAUGCGGGAGGCGAUACCCGGGCUGUAGCCUGCAUUGUGUGCACAAGCAAGGGGAAGAUGUGUAGAGUGUGAUGCCGAGCCUCGUUGGUAUUCAAGCGCUGCAGCCGUUCCAGACGAGGCUGCAGUGCCUGCCUGGUAUUUUUAAUCCCCCAUUCUUUUUUUAGCCCUCAGACUAUUUUGCGGCAGCAGCGAUGUGCGCUGAGAGGGGGCGUCCUCACUCUUCAGAGAUAAUGCUGGAGUUGACUAGAUUCCUCUCUAGAUUUCACUCAGCUGAUAUUGACUUGUUUCAACCAAUAAUUUUUUAUAUUUUCAUUGCCUUGAGCUGUGCUAAAUCACAUUUUUCCUGCAUUGGUGGCAAUUCAGGGUCUGAGGAUGUACUAUUACACCAUACUUCUAUUUUUAUUGCGUGGAUUGGGAAAAUGAGUGACCCAAUCAAGUAUGACAAUAAAAUAGAAACUAUUAUGAAAGGAACUGGUGAUUUCUUGUGUUUUGACUAUUGACCAAGCUUGUAGGUUAUCGCUGUUAGUUUGUGGAUUUGGGAACGAGUGUGGCAAAGGGCUGGGCGAUAUGUUAAUAUAAAUUUCAAUAUCUUUUUAAUGUUUUUAAAUUUUUAAAAAUGUGUUUUUUCUAUUAUAACACACAAACUGGAAGCAGCUGAUUUGAUGUUACAAUUUUGCGUCUUUAAAAUUUGUAAAUUUCUAUCCAUUCUUCUGUAAGUCCAUCCAUUUGUGUGCAAAUCCAUCCUAGAUAUUUUUGCCCAAUAUCUCGAGAAUAUGAUUGAAUGUUUGUAUAAUUUAUAUGGCAUCAUCAUUGUAACCAGCACAUGAACUGAUCCAAUCGCGAUCAAGGUCACAGCAAGGUCAAAUGUCCGAACUAGUUUUUCAUAAUAACUCUUUAAUGUUUCAAGUAUAUUUUAAGGGUCUUUCAGGCAUGCAAAUUAGUAUGAGGUAAAAUAAUGGGUAAACCAGUGAAGGGCACAGAAGCACUAUGAAAACAAUUUAUUUAUUUAUUUUUUUCAAACUUGCUAUAUAAAAUAUUUUAACUCGUCUCUCUCCUUGCCAAAAUUAAUAAAUGAAUAAAUUUGGAAAAUGAAUCGGAGUCAGAUCCCCUUCUCAUUUGUUUGUUGGUUUGCUUUUGACUCCUCUGCAGAUCUACACUGAUGUGAGUGUGUAGAUUCGCUCUGUGAUGGUCUGUAUCUUGGCUGCGAAAACUAAAAUAAACCUCAAUCAGAGUAAUGAGUUAUGACAGCACACGGUCAAUGAACAGGUGAACACGAUGCCACACAUUGACAUGAAUAUUCAUCACAGUUUUACACAAUUAAGUUAUAACAGAAGCAAUUUGACCAAUUUCCUCUGCAUCUUGACCUCAUCAGAAGACGCUUGGAGAUUUUAUUUAUUUAUUUUGUUUGUUUGUUCCGUACCGAAAAAUAACAAA